GGCACAGAGUGAACCAUGGAAGCCCCAGCUCAGCUUCUCUGCCUCCUAUUACUCUGGCUCCCAGGUUCCACGGGAGAAAUCGUGAUGACACAGUCUCCAGCCUCGCUGCCUUUGUCUCCAGGAGAAAAAGCCACUUUCAACUGCAGGGCCAGUCAGAGUGUUAGCAGCUACGUAGCCUGGUACCAGCAGAAAGCUGGGCAGGCUCCCAGGCUUCUCAUCUACCACGCAUCCAGCAGGGCCACCGGCAUUCCAGACCGGUUCAGCGGCAGCGGGUCGGGGACCGACUUCACCCUCACCAUCAGCAGCCUCCAGGCUGAAGAUGUUGCAGUUUACUACUGCCAGCAGUAUAAUAGCGGGUGGUACACGUUCGGCCAGGGGACCAAGCUGGAGAUAAAACGGAAUGAUGCCCAGCCAUCCGUCUUUGUGUUCCAACCGUCUCCGGACGAGUUACACACAGGCAGUGCCUCUGUCGUGUGCUUGUUGAAUGGCUUCUACCCUAGAGACAUCAACGUCAAGUGGAAAGUGGAUGGUGAAAUCCAAAACACAGGCAUCCAGGAAAGUGUCACAGAGCAGGACAGCAAGGACAGCACCUACAGCCUCAGCAGCACCCUGACGAUGUCCAGUACGGAGUACCAAAGUCAUGAGAACUACUCCUGCGAGGUCACUCACAAGAGUCUGCCCUCCACCCUCAUCAAGAGCUUCCAAAGAAGCCAGUGUCAGAGUGCAGCCUAGCCGGCCCCACCACCUGCCCCUCAGUCCCAGCCUCCCUGCCUCCCCCAUCAGGCCUCUGGCCCUUUCCCCAUCAGAGACCCAUGCCUGUUGCAGGCCUUUCUCCCCACCUUAAUGCCUCCCCCUCUUUGGCUUUAAUCAUGCUAAUAAUAUUUGGGGGGAAAUGAAUAAAUAAAGUGAAUCUUUGCACCUGUGA